GGUCCAGCCUGCCCAGUGACAUUGUUCAACGGCCGCGGUAUCCUAACCGUGCGAAGGUAGCUAAUCACUUGUUCUUUAAAUAAGGACUAGUAUGAAAGGCACCACGAGAGUCAUACUGUCUCCUUUCCCUAAUCAGUGAAACUAAUCUCCCCGUGAAGAAGCGGGGAUAAAAAUAUAAGACGAGAAGACCCUAUGGAGCUUUAAACAAAUAACAAUUGCCCCUUAUUUCCUUAUUUCAGAAAAAUUUUCUAUCCUGGCAUCAUGAUUAUUAGUUUUCGGUUGGGGUGACCACGGAACAAAAACCAACCUCCGCAAUGAAAGCACCCACUCGCUUAAUUAAGGACUACAACCCUACACAUCAAUAAAUUGACACUAAUUGACCCAACACGUUGAUCAAUGAACCAAGUUACCCUAGGGAUAACAGCGCAAUCCACUUCAAGAGCCCCUAUCGACAAGUGGGUUUACGACCUCGAUGUUGGAUCAGGGUAUCCAAGUGGUGCAGCCGCUACUAAGGUUCSUUUGUUCAACGAUUAAAACCCUACGUGA
rnacentral:rRNA from 1 species